AUUGAACGCUGGCGGCAUGCCUUACACAUGCAAGUCGAACGGCAGCACGGGUGCUUGCACCUGGUGGCGAGUGGCGAACGGGUGAGUAAUACAUCGGAACAUGUCCUGUAGUGGGGGAUAGCCCGGCGAAAGCCGGAUUAAUACCGCAUACGAUCUACGGAUGAAAGCGGGGGACCUUCGGGCCUCGCGCUAUAGGGUUGGCCGAUAGCUGAUUAGCUAGUUGGUGGGGUAAAGGCCUACCAAGGCGACGAUCAGUAGCUGGUCUGAGAGGACGACCAGCCACACUGGGACAGAGACACGGCCCAGACUCCUACGGGAGGCAGCAGUGGGGAAUUUUGGACAAUGGGCGAAAGCCUGAUCCAGCAAUGCCGCGUGUGUGAAGAAGGCCUUCGGGUUGUAAAGCACUUUUGUCCGGAAAGAAAUCCUUGGCUCUAAUACAGUCGGGGGAUGACGGUACCGGAAGAAUAAGCACCGGCUAACUACGUG
rnacentral:rRNA from 1 species